rnacentral:rRNA from 1 species
CCCCUUAGAGUUUGAUCAUGGCUCAGAGUGAAUGCUAGAGGUAUGCCUAACACAUGCGAGUUUAACGAAACUUUUUUUUUUGUUUAGUAGCGUACGGGUGAGUAACGUAGGAGAACUGAUUACUAAGACUGGGACAAGAGACCUUUCUGCAUAAAUACCAGAUAUUGAAAGAUUUUAUCGCUUAGUUUAAGGCUCCUAUAGGAUUAGGUAGUUGGUAGUGUAAUAGACUACCAAGCCCGAGAUCCUUAGUUGGUCUGAGAGGAUGAUCAGCCACACUGGGACUGAAACAAGGCCCAUACUUCCAUGGAGGGCAGCAGUGAGGAAUAUUGGACAAUGGGCGUAAGCUUGAUCCAGCAAUACCUACUGAGUGAAGAAGGGAACUCUGUAAAACUUAGGAAACAAAGAAGAUUGUGACUUUAUUUGGUUUUUAGCCCUGGCUAACUUCGUGCCAGCAGCCGCGGUAAAACGGAGAGGGCAAGUGUUACUCAUAAUGACUGGGUGUAAAGGGUACGUAGGUGGUUAAGAAAGCGGUGAGUGAAACAGAAGAUUAAUUGCUUUAAACGCUUGCUGAACUACUUAGCUAGAGUGUUGUCGAGGGUAUUGGUACGUUUGAUGAAAGAGGUGAUAUUCUACGAUAUCAAAAGGACAACCAAAGGCGAAGGCAAGUACCUAGGCAACACUGACACUGAUGUACUGAAGCGUGGGGGAGCAAAUCAGGAUUAGAGACCCGAGUACUCCACGCGUCAACGAAGGGGGGUGGUGCCAAAACCGUAGGAACGUGGGUACCUCACUAAAGAACGGUGGUGGUGUAAGCUACGCGUUAACACCCCGCUGGGACUACGUCGCAGAUAACUCAGAUUGCGGGGGGAAGUGCACCGCGGGGAGAAAUGUGGUGUAAGUGAUACAACGCACAUCCUACAUCUGAAUGCGAAGAGUCGUUCCGGUCGGAACUG